UGAGGUUGUUGCAUGGCAACUCUGUGGAAUGUAACCCAUCGUUCAAUUUUCUAAAUUUCAAGAUAUUUUGCUCGUGAAGGAGACCUGCAAUUCGUUGCUUUCUUGACCUGUGAGGGAGGCUGUCACCAAAUGGAUAAGAUCCCAUCCACCCCACCAAUGGCAGGUGUCCAGUUUAAUUCCCUCCAAGGCCAAGAAGCAACUCCAAAUGAGUAGCCCUAUCAUCCUUGCAUCUAGAAUCAACGUGUUAAACCUUGUUGUGCGAGGCUUCUUCAUGUCCAGGAGCUCGAAAUAGCCAUUAAUGGCCACCCCUGAGCCACCAUAAGGGUUCUUGAGAGCCUUGUUCUGUCACGCUUUUUGCUUUGAGAGAAUCUGUCCUUGAAUCAUCUUCAUGUUAGAUGAAAAAUUGCAAGCACUGGCUUCUUCUGCCUCUACAAAUGUAAUGGAUGCAAGAAGAAGGGAUAGAACAGCACAAUGAGACGAAAACCUGGUAAUCGAUUCCAAAAAGGAUACAAGCUUGCAAAUAUAUUAACUGCUAUCAAGGGAACCAUAGACUUGAACAGAAAGUAGGCAACCUAUGGACCAGGAGGUUGGGGCACCUCCUAGGUGAGCAAGGGUAAACAGAAUUUGCCUAAAUCAACACAUAGAAUAUGCACCCACCAUCUUCUCACUCACUGGGGAGGUUCUUCGUUACUCGGCAUUGAAGAUUCGUAGGGAUUUCAGAUUCUUAAACUUCAUAUAUCAUCUUCUUUCAUUUUUAGGUUUCAACCCGAGACACUUUUUUAUCUUUUAGCUUGCCUCUGUAGACCGUCUUAAUAUUAUAGACAAAUUAUAUACUUUUCAGAUCAUUCUUUCUUCAACAUGUAUUUUUUGUAGGUCGCAAAUUGAAAUAUAUGAAUAUUUAUUUUUUUA
rnacentral:lncRNA from 1 species